rnacentral:rRNA from 1 species
GACUCUCGGCAACGGAUAUCUUGGCUCUUGCAUCGAUGAAGAACGUAGCGAAAUGCGAUACUUGGUGUGNAUUGCAGAAUCCCGUGAACCAUUGAGUCUUUGAACGCAAGUUGCGCCCUAGGCCCUAUGGUCGAGGGCACGCCUGCCUGGGCGUCA